GACGAACGCUGGCGGCGCGCCUAACACAUGCAAGUCGAACGAGCGAGAGAGAGCUUGCUUUCUCGAGCGAGUGGCGAACGGGUGAGUAACGCGUGAGGAACCUGCCUCAAAGAGGGGGACAACAGUUGGAAACGACUGCUAAUACCGCAUAAGCCCACGGCUCGGCAUCGAGCAGAGGGAAAAGGAGUAAUCCGCUUUGAGAUGGCCUCGCGUCCGAUUAGCUAGUUGGUGAGGUAACGGCCACCAAGGCGACGAUCGGUAGCCGGACUGAGAGGACGACCAGCCACACUGGGACUGAGACACGGCCCAGACUCCUACGGGAGGCAGCAGUGGGGAAUUUUGGACAAUGGGGGCAACCUGAUCCAGCCAUGCCGCGUGCAGGAUGAAGGCCUUCGGGUUGUAACUGCUUUUGUCAGGGACGAAAGGAUCGUGUUAAUACCAUAGGUCUGCUGACGGUACCGUG
rnacentral:rRNA from 1 species